CUUGUUAGCAAUGGUUUAUCGCCGCUUGCAGGUGUACAUUAAAUUACUCGCAACAGUGACUGCACCCGACCCCGUUGUCCUAGGACGUCUUUUUUGUAUUUUUUUUUUUUUCGCAUAUUCGGGUGUCCAUAACACCGCGCGCGACGUACACGCGCUCAUAUUUACAUUUAUUAAUUUACGUCAAAAUUCGUAUGUGUAUAAUUAUGUCGCAAGCGCGCUCACUGGUUUCGUUCUAUAAAUGACAG